CUUUUAAAGGAUAAUAGACAUCCACUGAUCUUAGGAGUCAAAAAUUCUUGGUGCAACUCCAAGUAAAAGUAA
rnacentral:tRNA from 1 species